rnacentral:rRNA from 1 species
UACAGAGGUCUCAAGCGUUGUUCGGAUUCAUUGGGCGUAAAGGGUGCGUAGGCGGCGCGGUAAGUCGGGUGUGAAAUCUUGGAGCUUAACUCCGAAACUGCAUUCGAUACUGCCGUGCUCGAGGACUGGAGAGGAGACUGGAAUUCAUGGUGUAGCAGUGAAAUGCGUAGAGAUCAUGAGGAAGACCAGUGGCGAAGGCGGGUCUCUGGACAGUUCCUGACACUGAGACACGAAGGCCAGGGGAGCAAACGGG